rnacentral:lncRNA from 12 species
GCUGUUUUAAUUCUCUUUAAUAGGGAAGUAUUGUAUUUUGUGGCAUGCAAGCUUUCAUUUGGAAACAGUUUUCUCCCUCUUCCUUUUUUCCCAUAAUUAUUCCAGAAAUGAUAAUGACCACAGACAUAGUGUGGUUUGUCUAGCACUUUACUUGUAUAUGUUUUAUAAUAAGGUAAUGCAUCGAGCACGCAGCCUGAAAGCUGACUUGUUGCCUUGCUGCCCUAAAAGCCUAUGAUUCACAGCAACGUUGUGUUGGAAGGUACCUUCCAAAACUGAUUUCAGACAACCUUCUGAGGCAGCAUAAGGGAUUAAUGAUCUACAACAAAAUAGUGAGAGCUUUGAUGAUAACCAAGCAAAUGUUUAAUUACCACAAAUAUUAAUGUCUUGCUAGAAAUCAAGUCAAAAGUAAAAAAAAAAAAAAAAAAAAAAAAAACUUUCUAACUACAGAUUCACAUGCACUGGAUAGCGAUAUAUCAUAGGAAAGGAUACAAUAUGCUGCCUGCUCUGUACACAGGAUGUGACACGAUCAUUGGAUUCAGAUGGAGUCCUUCUUUCAUAAUGUACAGACUUCCUAUUUAGGUUUGGGAUGAGGAAAGAUGUCCACAUCACUCUCUCACUAUAUAAAUUCUCCUCAGUUCCUCUCACAUUCAGAGGCUGGCAAUGGCAGAGUUUAAGCACAUUCAGGACUCCAGCAGCAGCUCACAGAACAACUUUUACUGUGUACUAAAUGAGGACAUUAACAAGAAACCAUCACACACAUGGAAAGGUCGCAUUUGGAAUAAACAGUUUUGCUUUCUUCUGAUGUGUGGCAGUGUCAUACUCUUCAUGGCUCUGUUGAUCACAGUAUCUGUAAAAUUGCAACACCAAUACAGUAAACUGACCGAGGUAGAGAAUGAAGUGGCCAAUCUAACUUCUUCUUUAGCUUUGCUUUCUUCAAACCAACAAGAAACAUAUGACAGAUUUAUGGAGAUGGUCGGUGAACUGAAAGCUGAUCUGAAUAGCAGAAUAACAAAUUUGACUCAGCAUAAACCUGUUCUGAGCUGUAAAGCUGGGUGGCAGCCUUUUCUUUCCAACUGCUAUGAAUUUUCCAGUAAUAAAGUGAGCUGGCAAACGGCACGUUUAUACUGCAAUGGACAAGGCACCCUGCUGCUCAUCCUGGGGAAUGACUCCAGGGAGUGGGUUAGUGAUACACAGACGCAAACAUUGUAUAGAAAUUAAAUAUAAUCUCAUGUAAUGUCUAUGUCAUUUGUUUCAUUCAGGAUUUUAUUGUGCAACACGCUGUUCUUUCAUCUGAAUC